GUUUAGAUAGUUUAAUUAAAGAAUAAUAAUUUGUGGUAUUAUAGGUAAAAUAAUUUUUCUAGAUC
rnacentral:tRNA from 1 species